GACGAACGCUGGCGGCGUGCCUAAUACAUGCAAGUAGAACGCUGAAGGAGGAGCUUGCUCUUCUGGAUGAGUUGCGAACGGGUGAGUAACGCGUAGGUAACCUGCCUGGUAGCGGGGGAUAACUAUUGGAAACGAUAGCUAAUACCGCAUAAGAGUAGAUGUUGCAUGACAUUUACUUAAAAGGUGCAAUUGCAUCACUACCAGAUGGACCUGCGUUGUAUUAGCUAGUUGGUGGGGUAACGGCUUACCAAGGCGACGAUACAUAGCCGACCUGAGAGGGUGAUCGGCCACACUGGGACUGAGACACGGCCCAGACUACUACGGGAGGCAGCAGUAGGGAAUCUUCGGCAAUGGACGGAAGUCUGACCGAGCAACGCCGCGUGAGUGAAGAAGGUUUUCGGAUCGUAAAGCUCUGUUGUAAGAGAAGAACGAGUGUGAGAGUGGAAAGUUCACACUGUGACGGUAUCUUACCAGAAAGGGACGGCUAACUACGUG
rnacentral:rRNA from 1 species